AUUGAACGCUGGCGGCAUGCCUUACACAUGCAAGUCGAGCGAGUGGCGGACGGGUGAGUAAUGUAUGGGAAUCUGCCGGGUAGUGGGGGAUAACUACUCGAAACGGUAGCUAAUACCGCAUACUAUCCGAUGGCCCAAUCUGGGAUUAGCUGGUUGGUGGGGUAAAGGCCCACCAAGGCGACGAUCAGUAGCGGGUCUGAGAGGAUGAUCAGCCACACUGGGACUGAGACACGGCCCAGACUCCUACGGGAGGCAGCAGUGGGGAAUAUUGCACAAUGGGCGCAAGCCUGAUGCAGCCAUGCCGCGUGUAUGAAGAAGGCCUUCGGGUUGUAAAGUACUUUUAUCAGGGAGGCGGUACCUGCAGAAUAAGCACCGGCUAACUCCGUGCCAGCAGCCGCGGUAAUUC
rnacentral:rRNA from 1 species